ACUCAUUUAUCGGUUAGAAAGACAGCAUGAAAAGUUCGCGUGUGUGCUUCUCGACAACUCCUUUUUGUUAGUUAUUUGCAGGCAUUCCCCGUACUGUGAAAUCAUACGAAGGGAGUUUCAGAGUGAUGAUCCAAAUGUUUGCGGUCUACAGCGCAACGCUGAAAGUUACGAUCCUGCUGUUGGUGAUCUACUCUACAAGCUGGAGUCAGUCACGGCAUCAAAGGAAUGAAGACAUCAAAGAGAUGUUGCUGCUUCUGCUACAGAGGACUCAUGCCUGGCAGGACAGGUGCAGAUGGACCAAGUUCCCUUGACCCCCACUAUUCUUGUGUGUGACUGUGGUUUCAAACCGCCAGAUUGAUAACAACAAGGAGAUGUUCACGGCUAUGCAAAUGAAAUUGGAUCGAAUUGAAGACCUGCUACAAAAAGUUCUUACAAAAAUGGGAUAAAAGGUCUCAAGAGUAGAGGCGCAAAUUGAAUGCAGCUACUUGCAAGACCAAACAAUCCCAAUCUUUUCUGCUUUCGGCUCCCUCAACCGGAACGGGCCUUGGCCAAGCCCGUUGCUGGAAAAACAACUCCCCUGAAGAUUGCUGCAGUGAGACUCUCUCUCAUUCCCUUCCCCCUUUCCACAGACACCUGUGGAUUGUUGUCUCUGUCCAGGACCCUUUCAAGGCUGUCUCCAUGGCAACGACAAUCUUGCGAACUGAGAAUCUGUCUGAUUGUGGCCUGGGGGAAGGAACAACCCAGGCCUACUCAUACAUGAACUUUGACAUACAUACAUGAACUUUGCAUACAUAUACACGUACAUACUACACACAGAUAUGCAUCCACUCCCCCACCCCCCAUCCCACGCCUUCGCCUCGUCUGCUUCGUACCCCCCAGUAUGACAAGACAGGGUCUGUGACUGGCGCC
ensembl:lncRNA